rnacentral:rRNA from 1 species
AGAAUCAACGCUGGCGGCGUGCCUAACACAUGCAAGUCGCACGAGAAAGGGGACUCCGGUCCCUGAGUACAGUGGCGCACGGGUGAGUAACACGUGAAUCAUCUACCUUCGAGUGGGGAAUAAACUGAGAGAAAUCUUAGCUAAUACCGCAUAAUACCUACGGGUCAAAGCAGCAAUGCGCUUGAAGAGGAGUUCGCGGCAGAUUAGUUAGUUGGCGGGGUAAUGGCCCACCAAGACGAUGAUCUGUA